rnacentral:rRNA from 1 species
GACGAACGCUGGUGGCGUGCUUAACACAUGCAAGUCGAACGGAAAGGCCCUGCUUUUGUGGGGUGCUCGAGUGGCGAACGGGUGAGUAACACGUGAGUAACCUGCCCUUGACUUUGGGAUAACUUCAGGAAACUGGGGCUAAUACCGGAUAGGAGCUCCUGCUGCAUGGUGGGGGUUGGAAAGUUUCGGCGGUUGGGGAUGGACUCGCGGCUUAUCAGCUUGUUGGUGGGGUAGUGGCUUACCAAGGCUUUGACGGGUAGCCGGCCUGAGAGGGUGACCGGCCACAUUGGGACUGAGAUACGGCCCAGACUCCUACGGGAGGCAGCAGUGGGGAAUAUUGCACAAUGGGCGGAAGCCUGAUGCAGCAACGCCGCGUGCGGGAUGACGGCCUUCGGGUUGUAAACCGCUUUCGCCUGUGACGAAGCGUGAGUGACGGUAAUGGGUAAAGAAGCACCGGCUAACUACGUGCCAGCAGCCGCGGUGAUACGUAGGGUGCGAGCGUUGUCCGGAUUUAUUGGGCGUAAAGGGCUCGUAGGUGGUUGAUCGCGUCGGAAGUGUAAUCUUGGGGCUUAACCCUGAGCGUGCUUUCGAUACGGGUUGACUUGAGGAAGGUAGGGGAGAAUGGAAUUCCUGGUGGAGCGGUGGAAUGCGCAGAUAUCAGGAGGAACACCAGUGGCGAAGGCGGUUCUCUGGGCCUUUCCUGACGCUGAGGAGCGAAAGCGUGGGGAGCGAACAGGCUUAGAUACCCUGGUAGUCCACGCUGUAAACGGUGGGUACUAGGUGUGGGGUCCAUUCCACGGGUUCCGUGCCGUAGCUAACGCUUUAAGUACCCCGCCUGGGGAGUACGGCCGCAAGGCUCAAACUCAAAGGAAUUGACGGGGCCCCGCACAAGCGGCGGAGCAUGCGGAUUAAUUCGAUGCAACGCGUAGAACCUUACCUGGGUUUGACAUGGAUCGGGAGUGCUCAGAGAUGGGUGUGCCUCUUUUGGGGUCGGUUCACAGGUGGUGCAUGGCUGUCGUCAGCUCGUGUCGUGAGAUGUUGGGUUAAGUCCCGCAACGAGCGCAACCCUUGUUCACUGUUGCCAGCACGUUAUGGUGGGGACUCAGUGGAGACCGCCGGGGUCAACUCGGAGGAAGGUGGGGAUGACGUCAAGUCAUCAUGCCCCUUAUGUCCAGGGCCUCACGCAUGCUACAAUGGCUGGUACAGAGAGUGGCGAGCCUGUGAGGGUGAGCGAAUCUCGGAAAGCCGGUCUCAGUUCGGAUUGGGGUCUGCAACUCGACCUCAUGAAGUCGGAGUCGCUAGUAAUCGCAGAUCAGCAACGCUGCGGUGAAUACGUUCCCGGGGCU